UCCCUGGUGGUCUAGUGGGUAAGACUCCACGCUCCCAAUCCAGGAGGCCUGGGUUCAAUUCCUGGUCAGGGAA
rfam:TPA: Bos taurus chromosome 18, whole genome shotgun sequence.